UUUGGUUGUAUAAAUUUUAAGCAUUAUAUUAUCUCUGAUUCUCACCUGUUACUGGAGUGUUGCUUAUUUGAGUAACCUGUAAGGUUAUUAUUAUUUGAGUAUUAUUAUUAUUAUUAUUAUUAAGUAACCUUUGAAUACUGUUUGAGUAAACAGCAUAAAACUUAUGAACAGUUUAUGAACUUUAUAAACACCAUACACAUAUUAGGUCACAUUUCAUUUAGUUUGUUAAAAAUUAACUUUAUGGAACCAUAAGUUUUACAUGAUAAAACAUGACCCAUCUAAGUGCAUAAUUUGAUGAGUUUUAACAGAUCUAUGCACCUGUAUAAGUGCCAUCACAAUCAAGGUAUGGAAUAUUACUCCCUAAAUUUUUAUACUCCUUUGCAAUCAGAUCCCUCCCCCUGUGCUCAGACUGCCAGUGAUCUGCUUUGUAUCACUGUAGAUUAGCUUUACUUUACUAGAAUUUCAGAUAAAUGGAAUCCUAGAGUAUGUGUUGCUAUUGUCCAGUUUAUUUCACAUCACAUUUUUGAGAUUUGCCCAUGUUAGUGUGCGUAUAGUUUCAGUAGUUCAUUCCUUUUUAUUGCUGAGUCCCAUUCACCUAUUGAGGGGCUUUGGGUUCUUUCAAGAUUUAGGCUGUUAUGAAUAGAGAGAUGUGUUAAACUUCUUAAAGAGACCCAUACUGUGUCCCAAAUGUUGUGCUGUUUUACAUUCCUGCCAGCAGUAUAGAGAAGUUCCAGUUGCCCCACAUCUUCUAAAAAAUGUAAUAUCUUUUAACUGUGUAACUUGGUAAGUGUAAUUGUAUCUCAUUGUGGAUUUAAUUUGCCUUUCCUUGACUGUAAAGAUGUUGAGCAUCCUUUCUGUGUUCCUCUGCCACUUACAUGUCUUGUUUGGUGAAGUCUUGUCUUUACUUGUUGUUUAAAAGGUUUUUUAUAAAUUUUAGAUACAAAUCCUUUGUCAGACCUAUGUGCUGUGAAUAGUCUGUCAUUUGCCUUUUAAUUUUCUUUAAAUGACAUUUUUUGAAGAGCAGAAGUUUUUAAUAUUGAUAAAAGUCCAGUUGCCACCUC